AGCUAUCGAGCUUUUCUAGAGGAAGAGCUGAUGAAAAGAGUCACAGCUGAAUAGUGGAGAGAAAAAGCCCGGUAUUUAUUGCUUUUGUUUGGCUUUUGGCUACAGAGACAGGAACCUUCUAAUGGGGUGGAACCAGGCUCCAGGAGGCUGUUCUGCGCAUGUGUGCUCUAGGGAUGGAGGAUGGGAACUAAGGGGUAGAAACUUGGCUUAACCUGGAUUUCUGAGGAGAGACGACCCUAUUUCCAUGACAUUGGAGUGGACAGCUUGCAGUUAUCUGGAGAUCUGGUUCCCUUGGAGACGUUUAGCCAGUAGCCUGGGAAACUUGAGGACCCCCCGCGCCCCCCCAAGGGUCAGGAACCAGCUCGAAGAUCAAGGAGCCUUAUUAGGUAGGCAGUAACAAUCCUUCUGGAGUGUCAGUUGAAAUGUCACUCAAUUAGGAGUCUUCCCCUGGACUGCUGAGCGGAGACAGAUGAUUCUCCUGGGAUAUUUCUCUUUCCCAACCCUGCUUCUGUGGUGAGACGUGCUAGGUGGGGAAACAUGCCCUUCCUGUGAAAUUAGCAGGACACUUAGCAUCACAGGGGAGCAUUUGGUCAACUGAAGGGAGAACUUGCUCCUUUUUUUUUCCUAUCCUUAAAAUAAAG
rnacentral:lncRNA from 1 species